GAAGUAGAAUGGAAAUCCGGGCUGGGAGGCUCCACCUUCAACACUGUGAUGCCAAGACGCUUCCUACCAGAGGAGAAGAUCGCACAGAGAGAGCUCUGCAGAAAGCAGCUGAAGCACUGGACGUUACAUUUUCCUGACACUCAAAUCCAGGAGAUUAGUUGUUGACAUAAGAGAUUAGCUUUUUCUUUGGGUUUUGUCCAUUGGAGCCUCAUUAAGAUUAGUUUUUAAAUCUACCUACAGGUGUUAAAAAAAACAGCAAAAUGCAGAAUCUACCAUUUUAUAAUUUAUCAAACAAAAAAUGUAUUUACAAUGGACACGUGAAUUUUAAUUAAGUGUAUGUUUCUUUUGAGAUGACGGUAUUCUUGUCAAAAAGACGAAAAAAGUUCAAAAUGAAUCCCUUAAAACCAGUUAACAUCCAUUCAAAACCUCAAUCUAUAGAAUUCAGUCUUCAACUUUUAUAUAAAAAUAUGAUUUUACAUAUUUGCUAAAACUGUCAGCAGUUUGAGACAGAUAAUCGGUGA